rnacentral:rRNA from 1 species
GCAAGUCGAGCGGUAACAGGAAGUAGCUUGCUACUUCGCUGACGAGCGGCGGACGGGUGAGUAAUGCCUAGGAAAUUGCCCUGAUGUGGGGGAUAACCAUUGGAAACGAUGGCUAAUACCGCAUAAUGUCUACGGACCAAAGGGGGCUUCGGCUCUCGCCUUUAGAUUGGCCCAAGUGGGAUUAGCUAGUUGGUGAGGUAAUGGCUCACCAAGGCAACGAUCCCUAGCUGGUUUGAGAGGAUGAUC